UUUGCUACUGAAUCUCCCUGGGAGGACCGGAGACCCAGCUCCCUGGGACAGGAGGAGCACGGAGCGGCCUCUGCGUUCUGCGCCACCUCCACUGUGCUGCCCGCGUCCCAGGCUCACGCGCCCACCGCGCCCCUCCCCAGGGGAGCUCGCCCACCAGCGGUCGCCCUCCCUGCCCAGCUCUGUGGCCCCGACUGUCCUCACAGCCCUCUGGAGGCAGCCACCGGGAUCACCUGGCCAGUGGCUGGAGCCACUGGGACCAGGUGGGGGUCUCCUCCUCUCUGACUGGAGCAGGGCCAACUGGUCACCUGCCUGGCCCUGGACCACCCCUUCAACCGUUCCUGGCGGCAAGCUGAGGCCAGUGGCCUUGCUGAGAGUGGGCAGGUGCAGCUCACCUGGAACCAGCCGGUGACCCCGCGGCCCUCCUGGGUGGACGGGUCCUGGGACGCUACCUGCCGCCUCGCUGGGGCCCCUCUCCCGCCCCCCCCUUGCUCCGUUCUCUCUGCAGCUCCAGCAAACCUGGGGCCUGGGCUCCCUCCAGGCCUGUGGGGCCCUAACCCAGGCGCCAGCUGUGUGCAGGGAAUGGCUCCAUCUGUCCUGGGACCAGCGCCGGGUGCAGCAGACCCUGACGUAGGAGGUGGGGCCGGCCCGUGAUCCCCAGGGGCCCGUCCACUGCAGCAAGCGCCCAGCUCGGGCCACUGGCCCUGGGCUCCAGUGCUGGCUGUGCUGUGGGGUCCCUGCCCUCAUCUCUGCUGCAGCCUUGGUUUGCUCAUCUGUAAAGUGGGUGCAACAGUGUCUUCCCUGGAGGAGGCUGUAGUGGGGACUCUGGGAGGUAAAGCCACAUGCGCGGUGGGGGUGCUGGGAGCCGAGCCCCUGCAGGUUGGGAGCUCGGUUCCCAGAGGCAUCAGGGGCCAGUUCUCCUCCCGAGGGAGACAAGUGCUGUUCGCAGAGCGUGGGGCAGGAACCAGGCCGUGGGGGAAGGGGGUCGGCUGUUCCACAGCCCCCCAGGCGCCCACCUGGCACUCAGGACAUGCUCAGCAGGCUGCAGCUGGCCAGACCCUGACGCUGGGACGUCCGGCUCCUGCUCUGCCCGAGGGGUUCUCCCCUCUGCAGCCAACAUGGACGUCCUCUCGUGUGCCCCUCAGUCCAGGGGCAUCGGGCACCUCGGCCAGACGAGGCCCAAGUGGAGGCCACGCUGGAGCAGGUCCCCACAGCCCCGUGCCAGAGCUUCCGGGGGCAGUAGAGACUGACCACGCUCUGGCCGCGCCACGCCCUCCACCUGCCCAGGCUCCAAGGCCUCAGGGCUCAGCGGCUCGGCCUCCAGGGCCGGGUCUCCACGGGGCUUCUCAAAGCCUGGCCUGGCUGGAGGGAGCCUGGCCCCGAGGGAGAAAGUGGGGCUUCCUUGUCCCAGGCCCCCCGCUGUCUCCAGGGAGUGGAGCCGAGCGUGGUGCUGUGGGCGUGCGCACAGGCGGGAGCAGGGGCCCAGUCCCUGCUGCAGGACGGCGAGCAGCCCCGGGGGCCUUGGUGGAGGUGCGAGGGCCCAGGCCGAGGGACGGGGGCUCGUGGCGCUCUCCCAGGCAGAGGCUGGAGUGCAGUCGCCCGCAGGCCCCUGCUGCUGGCCCAAGACCCUGCCCUCCCUCACUCCGAGGGGCCUCCCGGGAGCCCCAAGCGCCCCUCUCCCUGCAGUCCAGGAUGGCCCCCAUCGGUCCCAGCUGGAGGCAAGCUGAGCCUUGGAUGACCAGGGGAGGUUCCAGCAGCUGGAGGAUAGGAGACCCCGUGGAGAGCUGUGGGGGCCCUCAGGCUUCCCACCCAGGCAGGAGGGUCUCCCUGCCUCAGUGUGGCUGGCGGGCACCCUGGACAGCACAGUUGGCCUCCUCCGGCACUUGUCCCAGGCAGGGCUGGGGGCCGUGCACGUGAGUGGCCAGGCAGUGGCCACCCUAUGGGGACAGAGCCAGGCACUGACCCGCCACCUGCCACCCUACCUGGAGGGGCUGUGGAGUGACCUGGACGGUGAGCGCGGGAGAGCCCAGACCUGCCCCAGCCGGGCCCUCCUGCCGCAGGCGCACUAUCUCCGUCAGAAAGGGGCCUCCUUCCUUGGUGCCUGCAGCCCAGCUUUGCUUAGACCCGAGCCUUGUGGACCUGUGGCCUUUGACCCCUUGCGUCACUGCCUCUGUCCUGCAGGCCGCCAGGCUGGCAACCCUUAUCCCGCUGCCUUAUUUCUUUGGGGCUCGCUGCCAAGGUUUCCUCCCUCCUUCGCCUGGCUUAUGCCGCAGGAUUCCAGGGCCUCUUUCUGUCCCCGGAUGGACGGCGGCGUGGCUGUGUGCUUCUGUCAAAGUCCCUGCGCCAGGCCCGCCAGUGAGGGCCCCCGAGGUUCAGGGGCCCCAGGGCUGGACCGGUUCUUAAGUGAUGUCUCACCCUGUUCCCCUCUCGGCUGUGCUGGGCCUCAGCCACCCGCAGGGCAGUGACGGGCACAGUCAUAGCCUGCACUGGGGCUGAUGAGAGGCAGAGCAGGGUCAGCAAGGGGACAGGCCGGUCCUGCUCUGGCUCCCGAGGCCGCCCCCACGGGCACUGCCCAGACGCUCAGUUCUCCCCACAUGGACUCAGGGCAGCUGUGAAAUGGGGUCCCCAGGGAAGCCCUGUGGGGACCUGGCUCCGGCGUUCUCCAGCAGGGGCUGGUCACCUGAGCACAAGGCCCACCUCUGGAGGGAGGCAGGUGCCGAGCUCAGCCCACGCCGACCGAACCAACAGAGGCACAGUGAGCCCCCGGGAGGGGUAGGGGACCUUCCACUCCUGGGUCCCCAGCACCCACAGGGUCAAGCUGUCCGCAGGGUCCCUUGCCUCCUCCCCACCUUACUCCAGAGGCCCGGCCUGCCUCCUGGAGGCUGGGCAUGCUGUGGGUGGGCAGCUGCCUGCAGGCAGGCGCCCCAGGCCUCACGGUGGGCACUGGCUGCUUCCUGCAGGGCCUCUGGUCUCGCUGAAGGACACCUACUUGGAGGUGACACUGCGGCCCCUGGACAAGGUGUGGCUGGAGCAGGCUGAGGCGGCCAUGCGGCCUCUGCAGAGCUGGUUGCCCAGGCUGCCAGGCAGCUGGGGGCCAAGGCCUACCGGGCAGCCCUGGGGGCUGUGCAGGGCACCUGGGUGAGGAGACCCUGACGGCUCUCCCCGCCCCCUGCAGUGCUCACCAGACUCUGCACUGGGCUGAAGCCACCGUCUCCUGGGUGCUGAGGCGGCUCUGCAGACCCCUGCUGCGCCCGUACAGCUGCUUGGCCAGGGUGCAGGUUAGGCCGACUUCCCCACGUCUGCUCCAUGGCAGGCCCUGCGCCAGGGCCUCCACAGCACCCCCUUACUCCUCAGAGCAGCCCUGCCAUGGAGACGUUUGAAACCCCCGUUUUACAGGUGAGAAAACCGAGGCCCACCUUCCCCCAGGUACUUGAGCCGCGCUCUGCGCAGGCAGCUCUGGUACUGGAGAGCGAAGGCCCAGCCUCGCGCCAGCUGCUCUGCCACCCAGUUCCAUCCCUGCCCUUUUUUAUUACUUAUUUUGUGAACGGGUCUUACUGAGGCUGGCCUGGGACUUGGGAGCCUCCUGCCUGAGCCUCCUCGGUCACGGGCAUUACACUCGUGCGCCACUGGCCGGCUUGGUGGAGACGGUGAGAUACAGCAGUGAGGCUGAAGGGGCUCCCUCCUGACAGGCUCCCGGUUACCGAGGGCCAGACGGAAGGUGCUAUCCCCCCGGGCUGGCUUCACCCCUUCUCCUUUGUUUUUAAUAAGCAGUUAGCCAUGCAGAACAGGCCGCGGCUGGAUGCGACCCCCAGUUCACCGACCCUGAACGCCUCGGGUACGAAUGCUACAGCGGCGAGCAGUGCAGCAGGCGGGGGCGCUGCGCACGGCCUUGAAGGGCUCAAGGCAGGAGCUUGUUUUAAAGAUCCUUUGGCCCCUGCGCUGGGACACGAGACGGCCUGGGUGACUGUCCAGGCGGGACACCAGGGGGCUCCCUGGAGCAGAGGCAGUGGGGAGGUCCGGUUCCAGACGUGGCGAGGGUCAGGCGGCGGGACUUGGACAGACCAGACGCGGGUGGCAGAGGAGGCAGGGAGGACGCGGAGGACUUUGACCCUGACGGCCGGAGUGAUGGAGGGGCCACUAUGGAGACCCGGGCACCAUGGCC